AGCAAGGGUUUAUAUGGGGGGACAUAGAAAACAUUAGAUAAGAUUUCUAAAAAAAAAAAAAAUGUGGAGAGAGAGGGACCAAGGCAGCACCAUUGCCUUCUCCGAAUUGCUUUGAUCCCAUCUGGUUACUGCUUUUUAAUCUAGAUUUGUGGGUUUUGAAACACUAAAUGGCACGAUGAUCAUCUUUGUCCAAAUGAGCUAUCGCUUUUUAAAGGUUUAAGGAUAUAUUUGAAAGUAGGACUAUGUGAUAAACCACGAUGUGUAUAUUUUAAAAAAAAAUUAUUCUUACACCAACAAGAUCACUUACAAUGUCCAAUUACAAAUAAAUCACUUUUGAAAAAAUAAAUAAACAAAAACUAGUUCUCACUUGCUACCACUUAAUUACAACUCUUUAUUCAAUAAUAAAAACUAGACACACCGCUUUAUAGAAAUACAAGAGUAUAACACAAAUAAAAGAAAGAACUAAAACUGUUGGAGAUUACCUCAACCAGGCUUAGUACCCCAUACCGAAUCUGCUCUUUCCAAUUGUACUCGAAAUCAACGAUUGAUCUUUUGAUUCUCAUACUUAUGACAAAACUAUUUCAAAGACAUAUGGAUCUCGAUCUAGAACCAAUUUACUAAAGCCUAAAUAUCUUAGUCUUACUUAAAUCCCCUUGGUUUAAUAUUAAGAGAGAUGAGAGAUACAAACCAAAAGAAAUAGAGAGAGAGAGAGAGAUCUACUACCUUGGAGCGUGGCCCCCCUUUGCUAUCCACCAAGAAAGAGAUGAUCAACCUAGCUUGGGGCGUACCCCUUUAGAACCCACAUGAGAGAGAAAAAACCUUGACAAAGGUGUGCCACCCGUUGCUACCCAACUAGAUAGAGAUAGAGAAAAAGCCUAUGUGGUGCGUGGCCCUUAGAGAGAAGUUAGAGAGAGAAGAGAGAAGAGGUGGAGAUUAUGAAAGGGGAGAACGUUUAUUUAUAGAUAUUCUAUGUCUUACUGAGAUCAAAAUUUGACCAUUGAUCUAAGAAGACUUGUGGGGUAAGAGAUGUGAAUCAGACAUUCUUUAGAUCCACCAUCAAGAUUCAAAAGAAUGUGCUAAAACAUUAUCCUUCAUUUUCUAAAUCUAUUCUUAUCAAAUAUUUAAAUAAAGAAAAUAUUACUCAUAGUUUCUCAUUUAUUGAACAUUCAUUCAAUCAAGCCUUCUUGACUCAUAAGACAUUCUAAAUCCAAUAUUUGAUUCCAUUUGCAAGAAGGCUUCACACCAAAUUAGGAUAAUCAGCUUGCAUAGGAGAUCUCUUACAAUAUUUAGUAAGAAAACAACCUCCUCAUGGGUGGAGUGUGCCACCCUUGGUGGCCACCCAUGGGCGCCACCCAAUCAUACAAUAUAUUUUAAAUAGGCUCCAUACUUAAUGGUAGGUCCUAUAUAUUUUAAGAAAAUAUAAAUGUGAUUUUUAGAAUUUAAAUCUCUUAGUUUAUUUAAAACAUUAAAAGAUGAUUUUAUCUUGGUUUAUAAAUCCAAAUGACAAAAAUAAAAUAUUAAAAGAAUGACAAAAAUUCAAAUAAACAUUCUAAAAAUUAUAUAACAUAAAAUUAAUUAAUUUUGAUGGGAAUCAGAUCCGUAUAGGUGUAGGAAUUAUCAAUACACUGAAUCACUCCACAUUCAACUAUAGACCACGAUCCACACUAGCUGUCUCAAACUGACCCAACGGUUCCCAUGACUCAUAGUCAAUUGCAUAGGCUCAUGAUUGGACCACCAAAGUUACCCAAAAGGCUAGGGGACAUGAUCCUUGACGAUUGAUUUUAGGUUCUUCCCUAAAGACAAAACCAUACUCCCUCAGACCAUGAUGCAGCCACAGCUCUAUGAUGCACAAGG
rnacentral:lncRNA from 1 species